rnacentral:SRP_RNA from 13 species
GCUGGGUGUGGUGGCGCAUGCCUGUAAUCCCAGCUACUCAGGAGGCUGAGGCAGGAGAAUUGCCUGAACCCAGGAGGCGGAGGUUGUGGUGAGCCGAGAUUGUGUCGUUGCAUUCUAGCCUGGGCAGUAAGAGCGAAACUCUUUCUUUUUUAUUUUUGGGACGGAGUUUCGCUCUUGUUACCCAGGCUAGAGUGCAAUGGCACGAUCUCGGCUCACCGCAACCUCCGCCUCCUGGGUUCAGGCGAUUCUCCUGCCUCAG